rnacentral:rRNA from 1 species
GAUGAACGCUGGCUUCGUGCCUAAUACAUGCAAGUCGAGCGAACGGACGAGAAGCUUGCUUCUCUGAUGUUAGCGGCGGACGGGUGAGUAACACGUGGAUAACCUACCUAUAAGACUGGGAUAACUUCGGGAAACCGGAGCUAAUACCGGAUAAUAUUUUGAACCGCAUGGUUCAAAAGUGAAAGACGGUCUUGCUGCCACUUAUAGAUGGAUCCGCGCUGCAUUAGCUAGUUGGUAAGGUAACGGCUUACCAAGGCAACGAUGCAUAGCCGACCUGAGAGGGUGAUCGGCCACACUGGAACUGAGACACGGUCCAGACUCCUACGGGAGGCAGCAGUAGGGAAUCUUCCGCAAUGGGCGAAAGCCUGACGGAGCAACGCCGCGUGAGUGAUGAAGGUCUUCGGAUCGUAAAACUCUGUUAUUAGGGAAGAACAUAUGUGUAAGUAACUGUGCACAUCUUGACGGUACCUAAUCAGAAAGCCACGGCUAACUACGUGCCAGCAGCCGCGGUAAUACGUAGGUGGCAAGCGUUAUCCGGAAUUAUUGGGCGUAAAGCGCGCGUCAGCGGUUUUUUAGUCUGAUGUGAAAGCCCACGGCUCAACCGUGGAGGGUCAUUGGAAACUGGAAAACUUGAGUGCAGAAGAGGAAAGUGGAAUUCCAUGUGUAGCGGUGAAAUGCGCAGAGAUAUGGAGGAACACCAGUGGCGAAGGCGACUUUCUGGUCUGUAACUGACGCUGAUGUGCGAAAGCGUGGGGAUCAAACAGGAUUAGAUACCCUGGUAGUCCACGCCGUAAACGAUGAGUGCUAAGUGUUAGGGGGUUUCCGCCCCUUAGUGCUGCAGCUAACGCAUUAAGCACUCCGCCUGGGGAGUACGACCGCAAGGUUGAAACUCAAAGGAAUUGACGGGGACCCGCACAAGCGGUGGAGCAUGUGGUUUAAUUCGAAGCAACGCGAAGAACCUUACCAAAUCUUGACAUCCUUUGACAACUCUAGAGAUAGAGCCUUCCCCUUCGGGGGACAAAGUGACAGGUGGUGCAUGGUUGUCGUCAGCUCGUGUCGUGAGAUGUUGGGUUAAGUCCCGCAACGAGCGCAACCCUUAAGCUUAGUUGCCAUCAUUAAGUUGGGCACUCUAAGUUGACUGCCGGUGACAAACCGGAGGAAGGUGGGGAUGACGUCAAAUCAUCAUGCCCCUUAUGAUUUGGGCUACACACGUGCUACAAUGGACAAUACAAAGGGCAGCGAAACCGCGAGGUCAAGCAAAUCCCAUAAAGUUGUUCUCAGUUCGGAUUGUAGUCUGCAACUCGACUACAUGAAGCUGGAAUCGCUAGUAAUCGUAGAUCAGCAUGCUACGGUGAAUACGUUCCCGGGUCU